rnacentral:misc_RNA from 1 species
GAUGAAGAACGUAGCGAAAUGCGAUAAGUAAUGUGAAUUGCAGAAUUCAGUGAAUCAUCGAAUCUUUGAACGCACAUUGCGCCCCCUGGUAUUCCGGGGGGCAUGCCUGUUCGAGCGUCAUUUCACCACUCAAGCCUCGCUUGGUAUUGGGCAUCGCGGUCCGCCGCGUGCCUCAAAUCGACCGGCUGGGUCUUCUGUCCCCUAAGCGUUGUGGAAACUAUUCCCUAAAGGGUGUUCGGGAGGCUACGCCGUAAAACAACCCCAUUUCUAAGGUUGACCUCGGAUCAGGUAGGGAUACCCGCUGAACUUAAGCAUAUCAAUAAGCGGAGGA